UGGGGAAUAUUGGACAAUGGGCGAAAGCCUGAUCCAGCCAUGCCGCGUGUGUGAAGAAGGUCUUCGGAUUGUAAAGCACUUUAAGUUGGGAGGAAGGGCAGUAAGCGAAUACCUUGCUGGUUUGACGUUACCGACAGAAUAAGCACCGGCUAACUCUGUGCCAGCAGCCGCGGUAAUACAGAGGGUGCAAGCGUUAAUCGGAAUUACUGGGCGUAAAGCGCGCGUAGGUGGUUCGUUAAGUUGAAUGUGAAAGCCCCGGGCUCAACCUGGGAACUGCAUCCAAAACUGGCGAGCUAGAGUAGGGCAGAGGGUGGUGGAAUUUCCUGUGUAGCGGUGAAAUGCGUAGAUAUAGGAAGGAACACCAGUGGCGAAGGCGACCACCUGGGCUCAUACUGACACUGAGGUGCGAAAGCGUGGGGAACAAACAGG
rnacentral:rRNA from 1 species